GGGGAUUUAGCUCAGCGGUAGAGCGCUUGCCUAGGAAGCGCAAGGCCCUGGGUUCGGUUCCCAGCUCUG
rnacentral:tRNA from 1 species